UGGGGAAUAUUGCACAAUGGGCGAAAGCCUGAUGCAGCGACGCCGCGUGAGGGAUGACGGCCUUCGGGUUGUAAACCUCUUUCAGCAGGGACGAAGCGCAAGUGACGGUACCUGCAGAAGAAGCACCGGCUAACUACGUGCCAGCAGCCGCGGUAAUACGUAUGGUGCAAGCGUUGUCCGGAAUUACUGGGCGUAAAGAGUUCGUAGGCGGGUUGUCGCGUCGUUUGUGAAAACCAGCAGCUCAACUGCUGGCUUGCAGGCGAUACGGGCAGACUUGAGUACUGCAGGGGAGACUGGAAUUCAUGGUGUAGCGGUGAAAUGCGCAGAUAUCAGGAGGAACACCGGUGGCGAAGGCGGGUCUCUGGGCAGUAACUGACGCUGAGGAACGAAAGCGUGGGUAGCGAACAGG
rnacentral:rRNA from 1 species